UCCCUCUCUAUUUUCCCCUAUAAAUUUCUACAGGCAACUGUUUUCCAUCCAUAUUUCGCCGCAUUUGUAUGAAAUAAAUCAUACAGAGAAAAAGAAAAAAAAUGGAAGCACCAUCUCCACAACAGAUUUCAUAUUAUGAAGAAGUUAAAAAACGCCACGACGACAAAGGCUUCCUCUAUGCCUGUUUGUUUGCACUUUUUUGUUGCUGCUGCUGUUACGAGACAUGCGAAUGCUGUUGUUGCUGUGGUUAGAACUAUAUAUCAUCCAAUCCAAGUCCAAGAAGCUCGCAGUUUGUUCUCGAGAGGCAAUCCUUCAAAUAAAUUCACCUUCCUUCACACUAAUAGCUUCAAUCUGUUUGUUGUGUAUUUCAACUCUCAAUUUCUUUUCUGGAUCUUGAAUUUUUAUUUUUAUUUUUUUGCACAUUGUUUUACCUACUGAUUUUCAUUGAAUUUUAUUUUGUUAUAAAAUAUUUUCAGAUUUGGUACAUUAAUGAUUGAAAUAAUAUAAACAUAACUGUUGACUCUUUUGCAA